rnacentral:RNase_P_RNA from 1 species
AGGAGACCGUGGCCGACCGACGGGAUCUUAUAAAGAACCUGAGGAAAGUCCCCUCUCCAAAGGAAAGGUGGAUCAGUACAAACUGGUGUGGUGAGAACCACGGUUCAGGGCGCAGAAACGACACGUCCUUCAAGGAGCUGUGAUGCGUGCGAAGUCUGCCGCAAGGCAGAUGAGUUAACCUGCAGAGCUGAGAUUUGAGGGGAGCGAUGAAACGGCCACUUUACCCCACCGGAGCAAGUCCAAAUGGCCGAGAUGAGCUUUCCGCGAUCGGCAGGUAGGACGCGCAGGUGAAUGUCGGCUGAUAAUCAAACAGAAAGGGGCUUACAUCGGUCACCU